UACAAACCAUUUGGCCUGUUCACGGGACGAAAACAUAACCUCAGAAGCCGUGGAUUUUACCACCAAAACAUGGAUGUUUUGAACACACAAAUUAUUCCAUGGCUUUUCUACACUAAGUGCCACUGCAUAGUGCUAUUUCAGUUUUAUCAACAACUACAUUUCUGCAAAUAUUGAAUAGUCUGAAAACUAUAUAAGGCAAGCACAUUUAAGGGAAGUGAUUUUCAAGACGAUGCAAGUAGAUCCAGACAAACAGCUGUAGUACGGGACAUUUUACUACUUAAAAGAUCUGAAUCCUCCAACCUUAUUCAAUUUUAAGCCAAAGUGCAAGACAAUAAUCAGCCUGUAAGUUAUGUCUAAUAAAAAAAGAUGAAAUAAUA